rnacentral:lncRNA from 1 species
GUUGGAGCAGGGAAACAUCCAAAACAUGCAGGACAGUGGGCCUCGAAGACUGGACUUGAGAACCACUGCUAUAUAAACAAGCUCUGCUUUGUCCACCGGGGGGCGCCAAACCUGACAAAGUGAAAGUUCCUCACUGGAGCUUUAAGCUUGGUUAAAGGAGCUCAGUCACCAAGUGCUGGCAAAGUUACUUAUUCUACUUUAAGUGGAUUUUUUCUUUUAAUCAUGAGAUUGACAUUAAAGCUCCUGUGAGGAGCUCUUUUUAAGUGUCAAAUACAGCGCCCCCUGUUGACCAAACAAUAAACUUUCUCUUUUUCCUGAUAUUUCUUAUUCCUGUGUGAGAAGUGAUGUUGCUAACCAAAAAGAAAAAUUUCCCUUCUUCCGUCAAACUUAUCACCCAUCAUAAAUCUUUGUUCUGGAGAGGAGCUCACAGGAGCUUUUUAUUAUAUGACUAAAAUGUUGAAUUAAGUCCAGAGUCUGGGGUGUCGGUUUAACUCAGCGGAUAAAUCUUGCACCUCAUGUUUGGCUCAGGAAGGACAGACCAGGUUCUGUUUUGACUCUCAGCCUGUUCUCCACUCUUGCUGUCUCCUGUCAUGUCACUGAGUAAGACAUAAAAGCCCCCCAAAUAAACUUAGAAAAUAAAAAAAAUCCAGAGUUUCACUGGAAAUGUGUGGGCAAAGAAAAAAGUAAAAAGUUAUCUACAAAAGGAGAAGUUUGUAGCCUUGUUGUUGAGUUUGAUUCCUCAGAGUAUUGUUGUCUUUUUGACCUCUCUGAUAACCUUUUUUGACAUCGAUCACUUCAGGCUUCAUAUGUUUGUGCUUUAGGAUUAAAAUGAUUCAACACAGAGUUUCAUAAAUGUAGCAACAAAUGUGAUUUUCACCUGUGACAUCUGGAGACAAGUGCAAACCCCCUGAAUGUUGGAUAAUUUCAUCUCCUGCUCAUCGUCUACUCUCUCGACUCGUUUAUUUUCUGGAUGCUGCUGGUAUAACCCACAUUAUUUAUCUCUUUAUUUUUUUGUUGAUAAUUGCUGAAGUUAAAAAAGGGUUGAGGAUUUAGUGAAGUUAUCUUACAGCACUGAGCGUUUGCUAAAGUUAAACCAUUUCAUAACUGAGGGUGAGACAAACACUGAGGAGGCUCUUCUCUUCUUCUCAACAUGUUUGGUUCAAUCAGAGAAAGAGACACACGACUGAUCAGAGGAUUGUUGUACCUGGAGAUCCCAGCAUUAAACAGACUGUUUCAAGGUUUUCUGAAGACACACGCAAAAACAUGAAGACAAGUACGAUCAGAGAGGACUUUAAGGACCAGAUAUUAAAGGCUCAUUCACCUCAGAAAAGUUUGAAUCCCAAGUGCAGAUAUUCCUUCAUUAUUUAUGUUGUUUUUAUUUUGUGAAGUGUAAAUCACUGUACAAAUCCCCCUCACAUUUUUUUUUUAAUUCCCUCUGGUACUUUGAUGUUCUUUUGCUAUUUUUGGGGGAAGGUUUUGUUUUCCCUUCAACCAUCCAUCUACCUCACUGUUUUGUUUUGAUUUCAAUCGAUUUACGUGUACAGAAAAACACAAAACAUCUCAUCUCUGUUGUCCGGCUGUACAGACGAUCUCACUGAGUGCUGUUAAUACGGCCAAAUUCAAACCACAAACCUAAGCAUCCUGGAGGGGGGAGGGGGCAGAAACAUCCUGCUCAAUCUAACAAAUAAAUAUUUCUCUCUUUUUAAACCUUUUUAAACAAAAUCUUUCAGGCUCUUGGAGGUUAUAAUUCCUCCUGCUGCCUCUGUACACGUUUUUGUUGCUGCAGUUUCUGCCUCUAGUGUAUCACCAUCACAUGUAAAUGUGUAUUUUCUCAAAAAAUACAGCAAUUUGCCCAAAUAUGGAUUUAAAGAUGAUUUUAUCGAUUUAAGAAUUAGUUAUGUACCCAGCUUGAAACAGUAGUUCUGCUGAUUCCUUAUUCAGUACUGCCUCCAUGCCCUAGGGCAUUGGUUCUCAAGUUCAGUCUUCGAGGCCCACUGUCCUGCAUGUUUUGGAUUUUUCCCUGCUCCAACACACCUGAUUCAAAUGAUCAGCUCAUUAUCAAGCCAUUACAGAGCUUGAUAACGAGCUGAUCAUUUGAAUCAGGUGUGUUGGAGCAGGGAAACAUCCAAAACAUGCAGGACAGUGGGCCUCGAAGACUGGAGUUGAAGUAUUUAACAGAGCCUGGUGACAUAUAAAGAGAGAUGGGUUAUAGCUGUUCUUUACAUUUAGUUACUGAAGGUGUAAUGAGUGCUGGUGGUCGACUGGGGUGCAUUACAUUGAAAGAUGUUUCUAGUAUUGCCUUGUGUGCACCAAAUGUCAGUACAUUGCCUGACAUGUAGGGGUAGCUAAAUAUUAGGAACAACUUUUGAUGUAAUCGAGUCCUGUACUUUUCCAGCGCCCACUAAGACCUCAGUGAUUCAAGUCCAGUUAUGAUCUUUCUGACCAAAACUCUAAUUAUGGUAUAGUUGUUGUUUUAGACCACACAAGUGGUCUGAUCUGUGCAUUUGAGGCACAAACUUGAGCAACAAGAGGGUGAUGGUGGUAGGAAAAACUGAUUUCAGACUCAUAGUUGACUCUUUUCGUUCAGGUUUGGACCAGAUGAAGGGCUGUGCUGUCCUAAAGUUGGGGGAUGAAUCUGACAUUUAGAGAAUUUUCCUCAGAUUUGGUUGUGUUUCUGAAAAAAAAUACAGCAGCAGCGUUUUUUUUUCAACCGUUUUGAGUCUGGUAUUUGUAAAAAUGUCAAACAGGACAUCAAGUUCCCAUCACGUACUUGUCCAAAGAAGGACCUUAAAGGACCUCUGCUGGUGGCUAACAGCCAAUAAAACUGAGGUGGUUACUUUUACUGGUGAUCUGUUUGUCAAGUUUGAGACAGUCUGGCACUUACGGCGUCACCACACCCACGCUAAGAGUAUUCACUGCAGUGAACCAUAACAUAUGUUGUGUUUGACAGACGACUAAUCUGAUGUUUGACUUCUCUUUUCUUCACCCAGAUGUUUUCCUUUUUACUUCCACUCACACACAGUGAUCAAUAGAUGGUUCUCUUCCUCCCCCAUCAAAGCAGGUUUUAAGUUUAAGGCUUAGGAAGUUCUGGGUUUUGUUUUGGAGUCCUUUAAAAAGAACCAGCUGAUCAGGAUGUGUAUUUCGGUGUUUGUGGUCUGACUUUAGUCUCACUUUUACCACUGGAACACCUCACAGAGCGGACAUAAAAUCGAACAAAUCUCUGUUUUCGUUUAAUUUUUCUUCCUUCUUUUGUUACAUUGAUGGCCAAUUUGUUACCGACUUUUUGAUGUGUGUAAAUUAUUCAUAGCCUUCCAACUUUUAAGUUUCUAUUGAAAUGAUCUCUUAGGCUGAGGUUUCAUUUUGCUUUCUUUUGUACAUGCUGUUGUAAGAAUUUUUCCUGAUUAUCAAUAUAUUCUGAGUACGGGGAAAAAUUAUUGGCUGAAGGAAAAGAGAAUGUCUGUUUCUCUGAUUCUUUUUUUCUACACGAGAUUUAAGAUGAUUAAAAAUGUAUGCAAAC